rnacentral:rRNA from 1 species
GAUGAACGAUGCCGGCGUGCCCAAUACAUGCAAGUCGAGCGAACAGACGAGGAGCUUGCUCCUCUGACGUUAGCGGCGGACGGGUGAGUAACACGUUGAUAACCUCCCUAUAAGACUGGGAUAACUUCGGGAAACCGGAGCUAAUACCGGAUCAUAUAUAGAACCGCAUGGUUCAACAGUGAAAGACGGUUUUGCUGUUACUGAUAGAUGGAUCGGCGCCACAUUAGCUAGUUGGUACUCUAACGGCUUACCAAGGCGACGAUGCGUGGCCGACCUGAGAGGCUGAUCGGCCACAGUAGGCCUGAGACACGGUCGAAACGCACACACGAGCAAGAAGAAGGGAGUCUUCUGCGAUGGGCGAAAGCCCGCUGGAUCAAAGCCGCGUAAGGGAUAAAGGUCUUCGGAUCGUACAACUGGGUAAUUAGGGAAGAACAAAUGGGUAAGUAACGAUGCACGUCUUGACGGUACCCAAGCAGAGAGUAACGGCUAACUACGUG